rnacentral:rRNA from 1 species
GACGAACGCUGGCGGCGUGCCUAAUACAUGCAAGUUGAGCGCUGAAGGUUGGUACUUGUACCAACUGGAUGAGCAGCGAACGGGUGAGUAACGCGUGGGGAAUCUGCCUUUGAGCGGGGGACAACAUUUGGAAACGAAGGCUAAUACCGCAUAAAAACUUUAAACACAAGUUUUAAGUUUGAAAGAUGCAAUUGCAUCACUCAAAGAUGAUCCCGCGUUGUAUUAGCUAGUUGGUGAGGUAAAGGCUCACCAAGGCGAUGAUACAUAGCCGACCUGAGAGGGUGAUCGGCCACAUUGGGACUGAGACACGGCCCAAACUCCUACGGGAGGCAGCAGGAGGGAAUCUUCGGCAAUGGACGAAAGUCUGACCGAGCAACGCCGCGUGAGUGAAGAAGGUUUUCGGAUCGUAAAACUCUGUUGGUAGAGAAGAACGUUGGUGAGAGUGGAAAGCUCAUCAAGUGACGGUAACUACCCAGAAAGGUACGGCUAACUACGUG